rnacentral:rRNA from 1 species
GUAAGCGCGCGCAGGCGGCUAUUUAAGUUGGAUGUGAAAGCCUAGGAAGUGCGUUAACUGCAUCCAAAACUAUUUAGCUAGAGGGGGAGGGGAAGAUGGAAUUAGUUGUGUAGGGGUAAAAUCCGUAGAGAUAACUAGGAAUACCAAAAGCGAAGGCAAUCUUCUGGAACACUACUGACGCUGAGGCGCGAAAGCGUGGGGAGCAAACAGGAUUAGAUACCCUGGUAGUCCACGCAGUAAACGAUGAAUGUUAGUCGUCGGGUAGCUAGUCUAUUCGGUGAUGCAGCUAACGCAUUAAACAUUCCGCCUGGGGAGUACGGUCGCAAGAUUAAAACUCAAAGGAAUAGACGGGGACCCGCACAAGUGGUGGAGCAUGUGGUUUAAUUCGAAGAUACGCGAAGAACCUUACCUAGCCUUGACAUAUUUUAGAACAUUUUAGAGAUAAGAUGGUGCCUUCGGGAGCUUUUAUACAGGUGCUGCACGGCUGUCGUCAGCUCGUGUCGUGAGAUGUUGGGUUAAGUCCCGCAACGAGCGCAACCCUCGUCACUAGUUACUAACGGUUCGGCCGAGGACUCUAGUGAGACUGCCUUCGUAAGGAGGAGGAAGGUGAGGACGACGUCAAGUCAUCAUGGCCCUUACGGCUAGGGCAACACACGUGCUACAAUGGUUGGGACAAUGAGACGCAAUACCGCGAGGUGGAGCAAAUCUAUAAACCCAAUCUCAGUUCGGAUUGUUCUCUGCAACUCGAGAACAUGAAGCUGGAAUCACUAGUAAUCGUAGAUCAGCUAUGCUACGGUGAAUACGUU